UUCAUGCUAUAUUCUCUCAUUGAAGUUAAAAGGGAUAAUCGUCCUUUAAUCUUUGUUCUUCCAUAUCAGCAAUAAUGUGAAAUUUUGGCCGUUAUCUUUUGGUUCAUCUAAGCAUUAAAUGAGAAUGCUUGAGCAAGUCAUUAAUAGGCUAAACUUGACCAAUGUAUGAUGCGUCUAGAAGCCCAAUUUCAUUCGGCCCAAUAAAAAAUAAAUAAUAAUUUAAAAGCCCAUUAAAUAGUCCAUAUUACAAGCCCAAAUACAAAAAAAAAACUAAAAGCCCAAAAAACCCUUAAAUCCCAAAGCCCAUUAUCCAAAUCUAAACAGAAAAAAACCCUAAUCCCCUAAGACUUCACUAGCCACCGCCGCCGCUCCUCAGCUUUGCCAUGUCAACGGGCAUGCCUCCCGAAGUCCCCACACCCCGAUGUCUGCCUCCUUUGCCACCAUUUCAUCAAAACUCAACCCCUUGCCAUGAAAAACUUGCAAAAAAGAAAAAAAAAAA
rnacentral:lncRNA from 1 species